UAAGAAGAAAAUAGAGUAGGAUAGACCCAAUUGAUAUCCUUCCUUCUCCCCCAAAAAGGAGAUUGGAAGACCCUCUUCUUCACCAUUCAUAGGCCUAGCAGCUUCAUCUUUUUUGUUUUGAUGGUUUUCCAUCUUCAAACUAGCUAUGCAGAACAACGUGAUGAUCAUCUUUGCCCUGCAUCUUCAUGUGGAAAUAUACCCAAUGAAAAUACCAUGUCCGUGCAAUCGAUUACGAUAACUACACAAUCCGACUGGCUGAUGUCAAUAUUGACAAGGCUAAUUGCUUCACCGUACCACUUUACUCCUUGGCCGCAUAUAACUUCAUUGACGAAUCUCCAUAUUCAGGAUCAUUUUUUUUGAAUGAUAACGGAAAAACUUUGGAUAACAUCUCACUUUCAGAGGUUAUAAUAUUCAUCAAGUGUGAAAAUCCAGUUGAGUCUCCUCUGUAUGUACCCACUGAUCCAUGCAUUAAUAGUAGCAGUGCUGCUAGUACUACCUUAUCCAAAGAGGAAUAUUACUCUUAUGUGAAGGUUGGUGGAACAAAUACAUUGGAGUUAGAGGAUUCUUGCCGUAUAGAGCUGAUGGUUAUGAUCACAUCACGAUUGCAGAGAAUUUCGGAAAACAGCAGCACCAACAUUUCCGACAGAGACAUACACAAUCAACUUGUAUAUGGCUUUGAGCUUUCCUGGUUGCCAAGUUUUGCUAAAAAUGAUAAAGGGGAUUGCCAUGUAGAGGGCUCCAACAACAUGGUCCAUUGCUAUAGCGAUGAUUGGCGUACUAAUACUCCGACCAUUCUUAAAAUUGCCUUUCUCGUUUUCUUCGUGGUCCUCGGCGUGUUCCUAUCGAUCGGUAAAUCCUUAAUUUACAACUCCCAUUUUUGUCUAACAUGAGUAAUUUAAAAAUUUAACUCUCUAUAUGCAAAUCUGUAAUAUACGGUGAAUUUAUAUAUAUAUAUAUAUAUAUAUUUUAAGAAGGCUUUAUAACUAUUUUUUUUAAAAGAAAAAAAAAAGGUUUUAUAACUAUUUUUUUUUUUUAACAAAAAAGAGGGUAUUUUAUUCUAUUUUUGGUUUUAUAAAAGGAAGGAAAAAUACAUAUAUUUUACUUUACAUUGUUUUCAACUCUGCACCACUAGGGUAUUGGGUAAGUCUUCUUAUUCUUUUUCUUUUUCUUCUAGGCCUAAAAGCUCUUAGGGUUAAUAGUAAGGGCUUCCGAUCUUAAUUUAGGACUUUGGUAUUCAUUUAAGAUUGUUAGGGAUCCAGUAUCUUUGGAGAUUUCGAUUUCUAAUCAAGUUUUGAAGCAUAGGAAGGAAAAUCCUAAAUCUCUGAGGUUGAUCAAGGUUGGUUUUUCUGAUCCUUUUAUGUUAUAUGAGAUUUUUUGAGAUGUUUUGGGGUUAUAGAAUAAUUGAUUAAGGCUAAUUUGAAGUAUUAUUAUUGAAACCCUAAUCUGGAAUUUAUAUGGGGAUCUGUACAGAGUGAUUUUUUGAAUUUGUUUAAAAUAUUUAAAAGUUUAUUUUGGAACUAAAAUUUAUAUGGAUGAAAAUAGACAUGUUUAUGAAUCUAUAGAAAUUUAUUUGGGUUGAUUUGGAUAUGUUUUCAAUUUAUUAUGAAAUUAUAAAUUUAUACAUUCUGUCUAGUUUUUCUGUGUGACUCCAAUAUGGUUCGUAUGUAAAAAUUUCAAAACAGAUUCAAACAAAAUUAUUUUUAUCUGAAAUUUUUAUACUUUUUCCUCUAUAUGUCUAAUAUUAGUAUAAAAAAUUUAGCUUCAAAUUCUUUAUAUUUUGGUCGUGGUGAUUUUCUGAGUUACCUAUGUCCAGCUGUCUGAAUUUAUUUUCUGAUCUGUUUAGUAAAGAAUAAAAUUCGAUUUAAAAUAGUUUUCAAUAUUUAUUUGACCUAAUAAUUUUUAUAUAGAAUUCUUACUAUAUAUAGUUAAACUUUGUAAAAUUUUACUACUUUUGGAAUAAUCUUGUAUUUUUAAUGAAUUUUUAUGUAGACUGGACUCCCUGUGAAAUGCUGAUUUUCAGUUUCUAUCAAUUAGUUACCAAAUUUAAUUUGACAAUGUUUGCGAUCUUUGUUUGGCUUUUAAAAUUUUAUAUGAGUAUAUAUAAGUUUCUUGUUUUAAUCUGUAAAAUUUCAAAUGGAUACAAAAUUUCAUGAAAGAGAAACAAAUUGAACAUUAAAUGAAAGUUUCUGAUAGUUUCAUUAUUUCUUUGUUAAAUUUUCAAUGAGUUUUGAAUAGUUUUUCAUUAUUAUUUUAUAAAAUUAUUUUAAUCACAGUUACUUAUGCAUGUGUACAGUACCCUCAUAAUUUUUCAGACUUAGAUGAUGUCGUUGAAUAAAGAAUUAAUUUCUUGUUUAGAGACUAAUUAUGGAUUAAUAAGCUUUUAUUCGGCUUUUAGUGAAUUGAUCUUGUUCUAGGCUUAUGAUUUUAAGAUUUGAGGGCUAGGCUAUGAUGAUCUUAUGAUAUCAACUCUUAUUCAUUUAGUUUGAAUUUAAGAGCUUGAUUAUGGGAUUUAUAUGAAAGAUAAUUAUGGUAUAUGAUGGUUCUGCUUUAUACUGAUGAGAGAUUGUUGGUAUUAUCCAUAGGUUGUUAAUCUUUUAUGGACUUUGCUGAUCAAGGUAAGUUACUGGAUUUUUUAAAAACUGAAACCAUAGCAAAUAUGUACUUAUGUUAUUGACUUACUUAUGUUUUCUAUAAAUUUAUGUUUUAUGAGAUAUAUAUGUAUUGCACAAAGAAAUUAUUGGAUUACUGAUAUUUGUAUUUUUGCUUUGAUUGUUGGUACUUAGUAGGCAUUUAUGUGAUACGUUAUGAUAUGUUACGAUAUGUUUUCGAGUGUUGAAAUGAAUCAUGUAAGGGUAUUUUCUCUAGUGAGUUAUGGUUCUUUACCUUCGGAUUUAAACGUAUUGUUUCAUGUGGGAGGACCUAUUGAUGAUCACAGUAGAGGUAUGACUUAUAUCUUCGAGUAUGAGUGUUUGAUUUAAAAUUUAUGUUUCCCCACUUGUUACAUGCCUUACACUAGAGUUAUAUGGAUUACUGAUAGGUAAUAGUAUGUUAUGCCAAGUCCUACUAGGUAGUUGACAACUAUAGUUUAUAAGAAAAUUAUGUUUACGUUGGUAAAGAUUAUUUUUUGAUAUAUAUUUGUCAUCAUUUUAUGUAUUUUCUUAUUUUUGUAUUUAUGAAAAACCCAAUAGCAUGUUGAGUUUUAUACUUAUUAUUUAUUGUUAUGGUUUCAGGUACUCCAUAGUUUCAAGAUAGCUGGAUUUGGUAUAUAAUAAUGGUGUUUAGUUGCUUUUAUUUUUAUAUUAGUUAGUUUGAAAGACUUUUUGGGUGUUGGAGAUUAUUUUUGUUCAUGUUCUUUGGAAAUAUUUAAGAUAUUGUUUAUUAAUGAUGUUUGAAGAGUUUUUAUGUUCCGCUUAUAAGUCUUAUUAAGUGUUUUAAGUAUGAUUUUUAUCACAUUUCAAAUAUUAUAGACUUGGAGUGUGACAAAAUCAGUGUCGUACAUCUAACUACUUUAUGUAUAAAUUGAAUUAGAAUCCUUUGUUUGUUUUU